AGCCUAAAACUCAUGGUUGAAGUCAACAUGAAGUGGAAUACAAAUGUGCCGAGAUAAGAUAUUUUCUGAAUCUCGCAAUUUUGGUGGUGUACCCUGAAACAGCAUGUUUUUUGUUGUGGCUGUUUCUACUUCUGUUAAGAAGGCAACCGAGAUGAGAGAUAGAGUUUCAGAGACAUGAAGAGCGUGAAGUGAAUAACCUGC